rnacentral:rRNA from 1 species
GAUGAACGCUGGCGGCGUGCCUAAUACAUGCAAGUCGAGCGAACAGAUGAGGAGCUUGCUCCUCUGACGUUAGCGGCGGACGGGUGAGUAACACGUGGAUAACCUACCUAUAAGACUGGGAUAACUUCGGGAAACCGGAGCUAAUACCGGAUAAUAUAUUGAACCGCAUGGUUCAAUAGUGAAAGACGGUUUUGCUGUCACUUAUAGAUGGAUCCGCGCCGCAUUAGCUAGUUGGUAAGGUAACGGCUUACCAAGGCAACGAUGCGUAGCCGACCUGAGAGGGUGAUCGGCCACACGGGAACUGAGACACGGUCCAGACUCCUACGGGAGGCAGCAGUAGGGAAUCUUCCGCAAUGGGCGAAAGCCUGACGGAGCAACGCCGCGCGAGUGAUGAAGGUCUUCGGAUCGUAAAACUCUGUUAUUAGGGAAGAACAAAUGUGUAAGUAACUAUGCACGUCUUGACGGUACCUAAUCAGAAAGCCACGGCUAACUACGUG